rnacentral:rRNA from 1 species
AUGAACGCUGGCGGCGUGCCUAAUACAUGCAAGUCGAGCGAACGGACGAGAAGCUUGCUUCUCUGAUGUUAGCGGCGGACGGGUGAGUAACACGUGGAUAACCUACCUAUAAGACUGGGAUAACUUCGGGAAACCGGAGCUAAUACCGGAUAAUAUUUUGAACCGCAUGGUUCAAAAGUGAAAGACGGUCUUGCUGUCACUUAUAGAUGGAUCCGCGCUGCAUUAGAUAGUUGGUAAGGUAACGGCUUACCAAGGCAACGAUGCAUAGCCGACCUGAGGGGGUGAUCCGCCACACGGGAACUGAGACACGGUGCAGACCCCGACGGGAGGCAGCAAUAGGGAAUCUUCCGCAGGAGGCGAAAGCCUGACGGAGAAACGCCGCGAGAGUGAAGAAGGUCUUCGGAUCGUAAAACUCUUUUAUUAGGGAAGAACAUAUGUGUAAGUAACUGUGCACAUCUUGACGGUACCUAAGCAGAAAGCCACGGCUACCUACGU